ensembl:lncRNA
GGAAUGCUGCACUCUGUGUCGCAUUGCAGUGAGUUCCCAUGACGAUGCUGGAAACGGCCAACACAAUAGAAUGUCAGCAAAACAGGCUGAGAGGAGCUGGCUGCCUGAAUUGGUGCUGCAGACCUCCUUGACCUCCUCCUGAUUGAGUUCUCCUGGAUGUUUCCAGUGCGGAGCACAUGUUGCCCCUGUCAGAGGUGUAACCGUGGCACCCAAGUCCGUAUGACAGACCUUACGAACACCUGAUGACAUCAUCAUCAUCAUGAUCAUAGUCAUCAUCAUCUCCAUCGCCAUCAUCAUCAAACUGUAGCCCUUCCCUGGGUCAGGCACAAGUCCAUCUCAAGUCAUGUCACCUAUGGGUUGGUUGCGCUUCCAGGGUUAUGAAACACUGAUGUUUAUGGGGCUUGUGUUCAGGAUGUGGUUCAGGGAUGUUGAGGGUGGUUCAGUGUCAUUAACAAGGUCCAUAAUGUUUACCAGGGCAGACUUGAGGGCCCUUGAGGGGCCACCCACCACCCCGACGUCAUCCGUGACCAGCGAUCGUGCAUGGGCCCCGACUCCCCUGACCGUACUUUAAUUAACCGGCUAUUUAAAGCUCAGCCCAGGCCCGUUAUAUGGAGGGCUGAUAAAAUGGAAAAGGACACCAGGCUGAAACUCAAGUGUGCUUUGUCAGACGACGCGAUGAAGGAGGGAUCACCCACCCACAACUGGGCUGUAGAUUGACGGAGUUUGGAAUAGUCUUCUUCAUCAAGGGAG